UUGGAGGGCAAGUCUGGUGCCAGCAGCCGCGGUAAUUCCAGCUCCAAUAGCGUAUAUUAAAGUUGUUGCAGUUAAAAAGCUCGUAGUUGAAUUUCGGGAUUGACGUGAUGGUCAUGCCUUAAGGGGUAUGAACUGUCACUGUUGAUUUCUCACCUUCUGGAGAAACUUGAUGUCCUUUACUGGGUGUCUUGCGGAUCCAGGACCUUUACCUUGAAAAAAUUAGAGUGUUUAAAGCAGGCAUUUUUUGCUCGAAUACAUUAGCAUGGAAUAAUAGAAUAGGACGGCAUGGUUCUAUUUUGUUGGUUUCUAGGAUCACCGUAAUGAUUAAUAGGGAUAGUUGGGGGCAUUAGUAUUCAAUUGUCAGAGGUGAAAUUCUUGGAUUAUUGAAGACUAACUACUGCGAAAGCAUUUGCCAAGGAUGUUUUCAUUAAUCAAGAACGAAAGUUAGGGGAUCGAAGACGAUCAGAUACCGUCGUAGUCUUAACCAUAAACUAUGCCGACUAGGAAUCAGACGAUGUUAAUUUUUUAAUGACUCGUUUGGCACCUUACGGGAAACCAAAGUGUUUGGGUUC
rnacentral:rRNA from 1 species